rnacentral:rRNA from 1 species
AGUGAACGCUGGCGGUAGGCCUAACACAUGCAAGUCGAACGGCAGCACAGUAAGAGCUUGCUCUUACGGGUGGCGAGUGGCGGACGGGUGAGGAAUACAUCGGAAUCUACUUUUUCGUGGGGGAUAACGUAGGGAAACUUACGCUAAUACCGCAUACGACCUACGGGUGAAAGCAGUGGAUCUUCGGACCUUGCGCGAUUGAAUGAGCCGAUGUCGGAUUAGCUAGUUGGCGGGGUAAAGGCCCACCAAGGCGACGAUCCGUAGCUGGUCUGAGAGGAGGAUCAGCCACACUGGAACUGAGACACGGUCCAGACGCCUACGGGAGGCAGCAGUGGGGAAUAUUGGACAAUGGGCGCAAGCCUGAUCCAGCCAUCCCGCGUGGGUGAAGAAGGCCUUCGGGUUGUAAAGCCCUUUUGUUGGGAAAGAAAAGCAGCAGGUUAAUACCCCGCUGUUCUGACGGUACCCAAAGAAUAAGCACCGGCUAACUUCGUG